CUAAGUUUGAUGGCGACCGGCGCACGGGUGAGUAACACGUAUCCAACCUGCCGAUGACUCGGGGAUAGCCUUUCGAAAGAAAGAUUAAUACCCGAUGGCAUAGUUCUUCCGCAUGGUAGAACUAUUAAAGGAUUUCGGUCAUCGAGUGGGGAUGCGUUCCAUUAGGUUGUUGGCGGGGUAACGGCCCACCAAGCCUUCGAUGGAUAGGGGUUCUGAGAGGAAGGUCCCCCACAUUGGAACUGAGACACGGUCCAAACUCCUACGGGAGGCAGCAUG
rnacentral:rRNA from 1 species